GGUGGUUUAUAAAUGGGUUACUUUGAUAUAUUUUCUGCUUUUCUUUUUAGCUGCAAAGUUCCUGUUUGCAAACUUGAUUGUGUAAUAGAUACGCAUCCUUAGAAACAACUUCAGCAUAUAUUCCACAGGAAAUGUUGGGCAGUGUUGGAAUGUGAUGGGUAUACCAUUAAGGGUCUUCAGCAGCUUACCACCGACUGUUGUGGACUUGGUAUAAACUGAGAAGUUUUUCACGAAGCUGUCCUCCAGGCACAAAAUAUAGUCGAGGAAACACUGAGAAGGCAUAUGUAAUCCUCCAGAAGCAUUGUCCUCUUUAUAGUUUUUGAAGUAGCAGAAUAAUUUGCUGCUGUUAUCCAAAUUCGCCGACUCCAAAGUUUCUUUACAUGUGGAACAGUCAUGGAUGUUGAAACAUUUCUUCAGGAGAUAUCCUGCAACAUAUGCAACAGCAUUUUCUUGGACUACACCAGAACUAACAUGUUGCUCUCGGUAAUCUGUUGCACCAAUAACCAGUGUUUGUGGUUGGGGAGUUGGUUGCACCAGAACAGGAUUGCUGGACUUGCUGGAAAACUGUGAAAGGAGGGAAUCCAAAUCUUCUGCACAGUUACCAGUAGUUGAAGUUAGAAGUGAACUGAAGAGUAGUUUCCUAAAUGCCCUUGUGAACUGUGUAGGGGUUGGAUUGUCACUAUUCCCUCCCUGUUGUCGUAUAGUGCCAAAGAAGUUUUCUAAUGGGUCUGUAUUCAAUCUUCGUGUGUAUAAAAAUUUGAAAUUGUGGUUCUUCUUCAGAUCAUCCCAGAUUAAUAGGAUAGCAUCAAGGGUUACAAGCCACCCCUUAAGGCACUUAAUUCUACCUGUUACCUCUGUAUCCCCAUUAUAUACUUUCAAGCUUAUUAUGAAAUUAAUGACUUCUUUAAGGAAAUUAAUGUGAUUGGAUUUUUCAGUGAAGGCCCUUUUAAGAUCUUUAGGUGAAUGUAGUGUUGAACUGUUGACACUAUCAAAUAAAGAAUCAAAUUUAGAAAUGAACUCUGCUGUACCCAUGGCAGACUGUGGCAGGAAUACGUACGUGAUGGACUAUGCUUUCCAUAACAGCACAAUUUUGAUGUAUAGGCUACGUGUAUUACAUUGGUUUUCCAGUUAUUCUGACAUAGGAUGCCUUAGAUAACUGCAGUAUAUACAUGCAUUGAAAUAAAGGCACAACAAAGUUCCCUUAUUCAAAAACCGGAUGGCUAAGCUUCUCUGGCAACUGCAAGACUUUCGCAGUUGGGUAAAAAUCUGUCAUUUGGGCAAAAAAGACACAAAUAUCCUGGAUGAAUUUACUGGGGGGUGGGGUGCACACACCCCUAGCCCUGACCAAAG